AUGCUUGAUAUGAUUUGGGAAGAGCAACAGGGCAUGGAAGUAAUAUAUCAGUGGGUUCAGUGGCUCCAAAACUCUUUACUUUCUCACCUAGGGUUUACUGAUGAGAUAAUUUUAAGCAAGGGUGAUCUAACCUGUCAUGAAGAUGGUGGGGAUAAGCGUGCUUGUCGAGAUGAUUCCGCACCUGAUGUUAUAAUUACAAGGAUUAUGAGAUACGAUGAUGAUAAGCGUCAUGAAGCCUUCUUACAUGAUAUUCAUGACUGCAUGAUAUGCUUCAGCGAGUUUCCUGGUGUCGAUUUUGUCACACUUCCAUGCCAUCAUUUCUUUUGCCGGAAAUGCAUUCAAACAUACUGCAAAAUACAUGUCAAGGAAGGAACUGUAUUGAAGUUGACGUGUCCUGAUACAAAAUGCGAAGGUGUUGUUUCUCCUUACAUAUUGAAAACACUUCUGGCGGAGGAUGAGUAUGAACGUUGGGAAAAACUGCUUCUUCAGAGAACUCUCGAUGCCAUGAAUGAUUUAGUUUAUUGUCCAAGGUGCGAAACUGCUUGCUUGGAGGAUGAAAGUAACGAUGCUGUGUGUCCAAGUUGUCUAUUCAGCUUCUGCACACUUUGUACAUCUCACCGUCAUGUGGGGAAACAAUGUAUGACCGCAGAGGAAAAAAUUCGAAAGUUGGAGGAACGGCUAAAAUCUAGGCAGGAACGCGGCGACCAGAAUUUGACAGAUGAAGUACUCAGCCUCCAGGCAAUUAUGAGGGAUGCAAAACAGUGCCCACGAUGCAAGAUCGCUAUAUAUAAGAUAUCGGGGUGCAAUAAGAUGACGUGUUCGAACUGCGGGCAUUACUUCUGCUACCAAUGUAACUUUGCAAUUGUUGGAUAUGAGCAUUUCAGACCGGGUGCAUGCGAUCUUUUUUCCCGGGAGGAAAUACUUAGAUGGGAAGCGCGAAUGAAUCCAGGGAGGGGGCGUGUAGAGGACGCUCCAGCUCCUGCCCCAUUGCCUCAAGGACGAUAUCGUCACCCUUGUCCUACAUGUGGUAAAGGAACUCCAAAGAUUGGAAACAAUAACCACAUCUCCUGUGGGUCAUGCCAAACAGGGUUCUGUGCAUUGUGCCGGAAGACUGUCCACAAAACUUCACAGCAUUUUGGUCCCAAGGGAUGCAAGCAACAUACUGCAGAUCGCGACUGA
rnacentral:rRNA from 1 species